CGGGGAGAGGCUGGUCUAACGGAGUUUAAGCCUUUUGCGGGGCUCCUAGCAGUCGUAUGUUUGUUUGCAGAAAUGAUUACGUGAGCACAGAGGGCAGAUUACAGUGAGGAAAGCAUAUUAUCCAGUUUGUGUCUUUCAAAAGUUCUUUUUCCUCUAUGAGUCACGGCAUAACCACGUUCUUGCUGGUAGGUGCGUAAAUGUUACAUCCAUUUUGGGAAGCGCUUUGUCAGAAUGAAGUAAAACCGCACAUUUUCAAAUACUGUAGCCUGGCAUUCUGCUUCUAAGUUUGUAUCUUACAGAACCUUUGACGUGUAGGCAAGAAUGCGUAACAGCACUGAGUAGAAGCAAAAGAUUAGAAACCUCCCCUGGUGAGAACAAAUACAUGAAUGGGAUGCUCAUAUGAGGGAAUAUUGUAUGCCAGUAAAUCAGUACUAAACCCAGAAAUAUGAGGCCAGAAGAGGAAGAUGUAGAAUGUAUAUAGCAUGACAAUUUAUAUACAUACGAUCUUAAAACAUGUAACGCUACCGUAUGUUGCUUAGGUAUAUAUGCAUAUGUAUUGGAAGUACUCAAGAAAUAAAAGGGGGUAAAAAUCGAACUUGGAAUUUUUACGUCCAGUAGGAAAAGAACUGGAAAGUAGUACAAGAAAGGGUUUUGCGGGCGCCUGGGUGGCCCAGUUGGUUAAGCAUCCGACUUGGCUCAGGUCACGAUCUUGUGGUUAGUGGGUUCCAGGCCCCGCGUUGGGCUCUGUGCUGACCGCUCAGAGCCUGGAGCCUGCUUGGGAUUCUGUGUCUCCCUCUCUCUGCUCCUCCCCCACUGAUAACUCUGUCUGUCUCUCUCAGAUUCUGUGUGUGUGUGUCUGUCCCUCACCCGCUCACACUCUAUCUCUCUCUCUCAAAAAUAAAUAAGCAUUAAAAAAAAAAAAAAAAGGAUUCGAUAAAGACUGUCUCCUGAUUCCUUAAGUUCUUGAGCAAGUGAGCUCAAGGCAAGAAACUACAGACAGAAUGUAUAAAUUCAAAAUUUUGAAGCCUAUGCAGUUUUUAAAAAUUACAAAGUCCAGAUGCAUCGGGGUUGUAAGUCAAAUUUCGAAAUCAGCGGAAUAACAUUAUUUAAAUUCAAGCAGGUUAAGAUUUUUGUUGCUUAGAUUAUUUUUAGAAAAAAAAAAUCAUAAAAAUAAUACAAUCAUGAGAAAAGGAUCAGAUUCCGCUAUUGGGACAUUCUACAAAAUAUCUGCCCAGCAUUCCUCAAACUGUCAAGCUCGUAAAAAACAAGGGUAGUCUGAAAGACUGCCACGGCAUAAGGAGACAUGAUAAUUACAUGUGAUGUGGUUUCUUGGAUCUUAACAGAAAAAUAAUAUUAGGUAAAAAUUAAGGAAGUCUGAAUAAACUAUGGCCUUCAGUUAACAACACUGUACAAAAUUUGGCACACCUGGUGGCUCGGCUGAGCAUCCGACUCUUGAUUUUGGCUCAGGUCAUGAUCCCAGGGUCAUGGGAUCAAGCCCCAUGUUGGGCUCCACACUCAGUGUGGAGCCUGCUUAAGAUUCUCUCUCCCUGCCCCUCUCCCCUGCCCACGCUCUCUCUCCCUCUCUGUCUCUCCAAAAUAAACAAAAAGCCCUCCCCCCCCCCCCCCCCCAAAACUCAACAAUGUACAAAACUGGUCCACUACCUUCACUGUAACUAUUAUACCCUCCUUUGGUCUCUAUAUUCUUCUUUACCCAGCUUCAUUUUUAGUAGUUCAUUGUUACAGUCACUCUAUCUCAUCUAACUCAAAUCAGUCUUCCAUAUCACUCUCCUAAAAAAUGUACCACCUUGGAUAAAUGCAACCUGUUUUCUUCAACGCACAGAGUGGUUUUUGUUGUUGUCGUUGUUUUGUUUUUUAGAGAGAAAGAGGGCAUGGUGAGCGAGGGGCAGAGAGGGGGAGGGAGAGAGAAUCCCACGCACUGAGAGUGUGGAGCCACAAGUGGAGCUUGAACUCACCCGAUGUGGGACUCAAACUCAUGAACCGGGAGAUCAUGACCUGAGCCUAAGUCAGAUGCUUAACUGACGAGCCACCCCGGUGGCUCAUAGAGUGUUUUUUAAAUUAAGGUGUGUUACAUAAAAAUCAAGAUUUCUGGCUCCUCUUAAAUCAGAGGAUGUGACAACAUAGGAUUGGCACUGUUGGUGGCAGCAGUCCAGUGGCCACCCCCUUGAGACUGGAUAUAUAUUCUUGAGUUUCAUGUCCACUCAGCCUGCUUCAGGUUCAUUUGUCUUGGCCCCUGUAGGCAUUUGAGCUUUAAGCCUGUGCCACAAAUUCAUGGUCAACAGCUCUCAAGUGGUGCCUAACAUCCCCACUGCAGUUCAGUUAAUUUACGUACCUACUCUCUGUGAAGAUUAUUUCAUGUUUUUUUUCUUCAGUAACCAAAUCUUCCGUCCCUUUCGAAACUUCACCCUUUUUCAGCUGACAGUUGCUUCAUGUUUAUCAAUGUACAAACACGCUUCGGUCUUUCCCCUCUCCUUCCGGGCCCUACUUGACCUCAUCUUCCCUUCUAUGUUCUUCCAUCAAGCUCCUUAGAAAAGAAUCCUGUGAAAUUACUGUUUUUGUACAUCAGAAACUGUCAGAGUUCAGCAGUGUCCUAUGAUUUAACCUAAUACGUGAUCAUUAUGAUCUCUUCCUUACAUCCCAUUCUGUUUCCAGUUUGAUCUGACUUUUGCCCCAAUCAUGCUCUUCAGACUGCUUCCACGUUGCCAAGACCAAAAGGUAGUCUAUGUCCGUGGUUUUCUUAAUCUCUGAGAAGCUUUGGCCGCUCCCUCCUUGAAACACUACCCUUUCUGACCAACCCACCGCCUGCUUUGCUGGUUUUCUUUUUCUCCCUGUCCUCUAAAAGGCUUCUUCAGGAUUUGGAACUGGUUCCCUUCUCUUCUCUUUCUACACCCUCUUCUUGGGGAAAUCCACGUAUACCUAUAAUUUUAAAUUUCGUCUCUAUCCUGCUUACUACCACAUUUAUUUCUUUUAAAUUCAAGACUCUUCUCAAAACUGUUCAGCCUGACAUCUCUUGUUGGAUACAUUUUGGCGUCUCAAAGUUAAUGUGUCCAAAAUAAAACUUACCUUUCCACCCCCAAACCUGUUUUCAGUGCAGUGUUUCCCAUGUCAGUAAGUGGCAUAAGCCAGAAACCUCAGUUUCAUUUUUAAGUUUUCCUCCCCCCCACCCCCAUAUCCCAUCCAUCAGCAUAUUUUUUUCCAGUAAUACCUGUAAAAUAUAUCUCCCGAUGGCCUAACUCCUCCCAUCUCCACCACCACCACUGGAAUCUCUCCCCCAGACUAGCAAUGGCCCCAUUAAGGUCACUUUUUUCUCCCUUGCUUCUGCUCUGUCCAUUUUCUACAUAGCAGCCAGAAUGAUCUUUUAGAAAUGUGAACUCAAUUGUGUCAUAACCUUGCUUAAAGUCCUCCAAAGGCUUUCUGUUGCUCUUAGAAUAAAAUCUACACUCCUUACCUUGGUUUACAAGGUCCUGUAUAAACCACUUCUGGGUUAUCUUCUCAGGGUCACUUGGUUUCCCCGCCCCAGCUCAUUUGUAGCCUUCUGUGGUUCCCUAACCCGGACCAGGGCUUUCUAGCCUCGGGUUUUAUGCACACUCUUCCCCUUUGCCUUUCCCAUGGCUCAUUCUUUCUCAUCUUUUUUGCUUCCUAAGCAUUAGCAUCUGCAUAGUUAGGAAUUUAGUAAGGUGUUUAAAUUAUAGAACAAAUCCAGAUGCCGUGACCAAAGUAUUGGCAAUUACUGUGCUUCUGUUUUAGGUAACUCUUUAAAAAUCUUUUUUAGAGAUUUUAAAGAUUUUUGUCAUAGGAAAAUAUAAUUGGAAGGUGGCAGUUGUUUUUUAGCAUAGUUUUUUACGUCACUCAUCAGUUGGUCCAGGCUAAGUGUAACCAGAAUCAUAUUACUUUUAGCCUAAGAAAAGCAUAAUUGAGAAGAUAAAAAUAAUAGUACAACAAAUCCAGAAUUAAUGUGUUCUUGGUGUGGCCCACCAUUUUAGACUUUGCAUAUUGUUCUUGACUAUCUUGAAUAAUAAAUAAUUGAACCCCAGUAUAAUGUACGUAUAUGUGUGUAUACACAUAUGGACACAUAGGUAUAUAUGUGUGUAUACAUCAGAGAGAGAGACUGAGAGAUUUUUUUAAAAUACAUACACUAAAAUGCACACAUCUAAGUGUAUACGUGGAUGGUUUUUGACUAAUUUUUAUAACUUUACAACCAGUAUUUACGACAAAGGUAUAGACCAUUGCCAUCCCUGUGGAAAAUUCCCUGAUGAUCCUUUCCAGCUAACCCUCCUCCCCACCACAACCAUCUGAUAUCCUGAUUUCUACAAUUAUAGAGUAGUUUUGCCUAUUCUGAAAUUUCACAUAAAUGGCGCCCUACGGUCUGCACUCUUACUUACCUUCUUUUGUUCAGCUCAGUGUUUUCAAGAUUGCAUCACGUCAUCUGGACCAAUAGUGCAAUUCCUUUUUCGUUACUAAGUAGUAUUCCGCCGUGUGAAUAUACUACAAAUUAUGUAGACAUUCUUUUCUAGAGGGAAAGUGGGAUGUUUGCAAUUUUUUGAUACUAUGAAUAAAACUGUCGUCAACAUUUUGUGAGUAUGUUUUAAUGUCUUUGGGGGAAAUACCUAGAUUUAACGUUGCUUGACCAUAAGGUGGGUGUAUCUCUAACUUCAUAUAAAAUUGCCAAAUGGUUUUUCCAAGUGAACCCCAUUUUAUUUAUUUAGCAUAUUCCUCCAAAGAAUGUAAGGCAUUUAUUUCUGCUGCAGGCUUUUAAAAUCGGUUUGUGUCACUAGCUCUGUCAUACACAUCUGAAAAACAAAGUGGUUUCCUGAGUCUCUAACAGUCAAUUUGUCUCUACUUUGAGAUCAUUAAUGUAAAGAAUAAGAAAAGCGUUGAAACUUGAAAAGAAAUGUGCAGUAAUUGAAUGUGGAAAGAAGGAAAACUCGAAAGUCAUUCAAUAUUUAUUAGCAUCCAGGUUAAGUCAGCUGUGCUGAGUGAUGAGACUAUAAACACGAAUAAAACAUGACCCUUGCCCUCAAGGACUCCACAGAGAGUUUGGUGGAAGAAAAAGGUGAGUGUGUUCCAAUAUUCUAAGUGGUCUAGGAGAGGACACUGAACACGAGCAGUGCAGGCAUUAUGUGGAUGACCCUGUGUGUGUACGUUACAGGGGGGAGUGGAUGAGAGACGAGCCCCCGGACAAGAAGGAAGCCUCACGGAGGAGGUUGGACUUGAGGAAACAGUAACGCUUUGACCAUAGAACAAAUAGUAAGGGUAUUUUAGGUAGAGGGUAUUUUAACUUUUUUUUUUUUUUUUAAGUUUAUUGGUCCUGAGAGAGGGGAGAGAGAGAAAGAGAAAGAAUGCAAGUGGGGGGAGGGGCAGAGAGAGAGGGAGAGAGAGAAUCCCAAGCAGACUCUGCCACCAGCACGGAGCCCGACCUGGGGCUUGAACUCACAAACCACGAGACUAAGACCUGAGACGAAACCAAGAAUUGGAUGCUUAACUGACGGAGCCACCCAGGCGCCCCAAGGUAUUUUAACUUUUGUAAAAGCACAGUUGUUUUGAAUAACAACUUUCAAAACUCGGGGAAAUGAAGGUCAUCCAACAGCUUUAGAAAAUAAGGUCAACAGGGGCGCCUGGGUGGCGCAGUCGGUUGAGCGUCCGACUUCAGCCAGGUCACGAUCUCGCGGUCCGGGAGUUCGAGCCCCGCGUCGGGCUCUGGGCUGAUGGCUCGGAGCCUGGAGCCUGUUUCCGAUUCUGUGUCUCCCUCUCUCUCUGCCCCUCCCCCGUUCAUGCUCUGUCUCUCUCUGUCCCAAAAAUAAAUAAACGUUGAAAAAAAAAAAUAAGGUCAACAAAUGAACAGGAACGUGACUUAUUAAAAUGAGGGAAAUUAGUUGUGCACCAGCCUUGAGUAAAAAUACUAAACAAAACCCAUAAUUUUUGGUCAUUAAGCCAAAGUCAUAAGCCAAAGCUAUGUCCACUUUCAUGUUUUCUUCUGUGAAGGAAUUUUAAUAAAGUUCAGUGUAUGUUUUGUUGUAUUUCGGUUUUCAGAAGACACUGGCAGUUUAACUCCAGCAGGAAAAAUUUUUCCAAGCUAGGAGGAAACCUGGAUCCACAUUCUGUGUGAGGCUGUGGUUAGGAAGUCCACAUGAGUCUCAGUCGACUCCCUUUGAUUUGCCCUUUGUCUUGGUAGGUUGGCAGGAGAACAAUUUCAAACGAGAACUGAUUAGGAAAUUCUGGGGUAGAAAGUAUGUAAUGAGAAUUCUUGCCUCCGGGGAAAUGUCAGUAAUGAUGACUGAAGUCAUGGGAACUGAAAUACUAUGAAUAAUGGAAAAAUGUAUAGUGAAGAAUAAUUAUGUAAAAGAAUCAUUUUUUCCCCCAUAAACAUUUUCGUUUGAGAUCCUGAGAAGCGAGGGGAAGGGGGAGGUGGAAAUGAACAAGAUAAAAUCUAUUUUUUAAUCAAGGAGGCAAAGAUUGCACUGUUCCAGAAUUUUUCUACCUGCAAACAGUGAAGCAUUACCAGGCUUGUGACCAUGUGAUUGGACAUUCUGAUCGAGUCUCAGCCCUCUAACCCAGGUCUUCAUUGUCUGUCUCCAGAUGUUUCUGUUCCCAAAUCCUGUGUUUGCUCCAGCUUCCAAAAUACCUUCAACUACCUUAGACUUUAAGGCCGGUGCAACGUGAGGAAGAAGCUAGUCAAAUAUCAGAAGUGUUCAGACAGGAAGAGUGUUGCAGUGAGAGUAGGAGAAGCCGUUGCAGUGAUUUAGGGAAGCCUAGUUACCUUUAGACAGUCAAGUACAAUUCGGAAAAGUGGGAAAAGAUACGAUGUAGAGUUUUGUAGUAGGUAGGAAACAUCUAGUGGACCGUUGAACUUCUAAUAAAUUCCAGGAGACUCAUCAGUUGGGGUCAACAGUCCUUGCUCUUAAUGAUUAUGUUAGUUGUUUUGUUUUUUUCCUAGGUAAUUUGAUCACUUGGAGCUGUGCACAUCUCUUCCUGGCAAACUUAGUAACAAAGGAAGAGGUUCGUGCUCUGUUCCCACAUACUUGCCUCAUAAUGAUUUAGAAAUGAGGGCUGACAAAUUUCAAGUCUGUUGUUAGCUCGGAUUGAUUGAUUGAUUGAUUGAUUGAUUGAUUAUGGCUACCUGGACCUGAGUUGAGAUGUUUCUGAGGCCAAUUCCAGGCUAACUGAAAAGUAAAGAUUAUUAAUGUCCGGUGGGGGCUUAUGGGGGGGGGAGACCUCUUAUACCUUAUUCUUCUCACUUCUGGCUUAGGUAAUUAGUAUAAGAGAAGUAGUUUUACUGCUAGAGGAAAAGGUUUGCCCAGACUUGGAAACAGGUUAGAUGGUAGUGUGGGGCAUGGCUUAUCAUGGUGGGCAGUCUGCAAGAGGGUCCCUAAAUCAAAGCUGGAAAGAAGGUAUCUUUUUCCACUGUGGAGGAAAAACAUGAGUUUUGGAGCCCGACAGACUAGAUUCUACGUUCUGUCACUUCCUAAAGCCUGUUUCUUUGUCCUUAAAGUGGAAGCACAGAUACUUGUUGAAGAGAAUCUCGGACUUAUAAGCCCACCUGGGAUAAUGAAUGUAGAACAUCUUUUCCAUUUUGUACAGCACUGGCACCUGGGAGGCCCAAAGCAUGUCCUCUCCCUUGCUCUCCUUUGGAGUCUGGUCUGUGGGCCCCUGGGUGUCUCUGGGACCUUUGUAAGGGAUGUGUGAGGUCAAAAUUAUUUUCAGAAUAGUGUUAAAACAUUAUUUGCCUUUUUUUACUUCAUUGCCAUUUCUCUGGUGAUGCAAAAGCUAUAAUGGGAAAAACAACCUAGUGCUUUACCACGAAUCAAGGCAGUGGCACUGGCCGUUAUUGUACUUUUCGCCACCAUGCACUCUUAAGAUAAAAACAUAAAAGCAGUUCACUUAAUAAUAGGUGUGAUGAGGGCAGUAAAAAUCAUUAAUUUUAUUUGAUCUCCAUAUCUGAGUACACAUCUUUUAAAUAAACUGUGUGACAAAAUGGGAACUGUGGAUAAGACAUUUGUGCUAUAUAAUCAGUACAAUGAUUGUCUGGAGGAAAAGCACCUGUUCUGUUGUUUGAGUUGCAAGCUGAACUAACACCACCUUUCCCAUUGAAUACUAUUUUUACUUGAAAGAACAGACAAACUAGGGUUAUUCAGAGUUGAGUAUUUGGCUGACAUCUUCUGAUAGGCUAAACCAGACUACUGCUACUUCAAGGGAAACAACCGAUGCGUAGCCUAUGAACAUUUGAGCUUUUAAGUAAAAGUUACAGUUUGGAAAACUUGUAUCCACCACUGUGAGCCUGACAGCUUCCUACAACUGAGAUACUUUUCUGUUAAGAUCAUUGGUGAUAUGAACAAAUGCAGUUUGUUUUAUGUAGUUAAAUGUUUCCACAUUUGGAUUACCUGCAUAACUGAGUGAACCAUAUUUUCAAAUGAUCAGUACAUGAUGUUACAAAGUAAGAAAUGGGAAAAGAUCAUUUGAGGUGUAAGAUAGGCCAAUGGAAUUAAAAAACUUUUUUUUAAUGUUUGUUUAUUUCUGAGAGAGAGAGAGAGAGCAUGAGCAGGGGAGGGGCAGAGAGAGAGGGAGGCACAGAAUCCGAAGCAGGCUCCAGGCUCUGAGCUGUCAGCACAGAGCCCAACGCAGGGCUCAAACUCAUGAACUGCUAGAUCAUGACCUGAGCCGAAGUCGGAAGCUCAACCAACUGAGCCACCAGGCACUCCUACGUGGGCCAAUAGAAUUUAAUGUACCAGUAUGAAAAUGUCACUGAUACUAUUUAGAUUUCACGUUGCAACUACUCUUUUAAAAAAAAUCUGUCACUGUGGAGUGUUGGUGUGGUAUCAAAUAAGAUUAGCCACAAUUACCUGAAAAAGUUAUUAAAAUACUGCUCCCUUUUCUAGCAUACCUGUGUGAGACGGUUUUCUUCAUAUACUUCAACCAAAUGCAUAUGGCAAUAGAUCCAACGCGGAGACAGAUGAGUGUCCAGUUGUUUUCGACCGAGCUAGACCUUACGGAUGUCACAAAAAGGUAAGACAAUGCCACACUUCUCACCAAACGGUGCAGCAAAAAAGAAAUGCAGUGAAAAAGAAUUUAUUUUGGAAGACACAGUCACUUGUCGUAAAAAUAUUUAUGUGACCGUGUAUGAGGUUUCUAUUAUUAUUUUUAUUUUUAUAUAAGUGAAUGAAUAUUUCCAGAAAGUCUUCAUUUUAAUGUCUGAUAAAUAUUGAUAGAUGAAAAUCCACAUAAAUGAAAGUUCAGUGAUUUUUAAGAGGUAAGGGGGUCCUGGGAUCAGAAAGCUUACGAACACUGUCCUAGUCCCCUACUUCUGCUACCGCUGCAUGUGCUCUGAUCCCCAGAGGAGAGCCAGAGCUGUCCCUGCAAAUUCUGGAAGUAAUCCCUAUUUGUCGCAAACUUUGACUGUUACACUAUUAGGGUGGGUUCCACGUCAAAAUAUGCAUGUUCCCACGGUAAUCUUGCCCUUGCAAAGUUACUCAGAAACAUGGGCACGUGGGAUUAUUUUCCAUUUUGCCCUGUGGAUUCUGAACAAGCUUUGGUACAAUUUUGCUGACUUGCCUUGAGCUGACGGCCUGCGAUUGUUAAUUUAUCCUGUAACUAAACUGAUUUUGCUUCGCUGUUACCCUGUCAUGUCCUUAGAUUUCCAGUGCAACUGCUGAUUAAGUCAAGCAGGUCAAAUUUUGUGGGACAGAUAGGGGACUGGCACUCUGUUGUGCCUGUUAAAAUUAAACUUGGAAACACUUUAAAAAGAAACCCACAAAAGUGUUCUCAAAACAGCCAUUCUGGUUGUCAAAUGAAAUAGGGGAGCAAUUAGGCCUCUGUCCUGUGAUAGAUUAAAAAUUUUCUGCUGACUGGCAGUGUCCUGUUUCUACCUCCGAACUGUUCUGCAGGUACUUGGCUGUACUCCGACGGGAUAAGAAGAUUCUGCGGUUGAAAUAUUUUAACUACAGUCCUUGCUGACAAAAGACUAAAACCUUUUUAGCCAUUAGACAAAUUACUCUGGCUACAGUUUCAUAUAUGCCCGGAAUUAUUGAAAUAAACUCUUUUUUUUUUUUUUUGGAAAACUGACAAUAACUUUAACCAUUAUAAUGAACCACAAUGACAUCAAAAUAUUUCUGCAAAAUAAUUGAUACAAAUGCUUUUAAAGGUUUUAGCGCUGGGACUUAUAUAAGCCGAAGCGUAAAAUUACAUGAAGAACCUUCGUCAGAUAGCAGUUUCAUGUUGCUCAUUUGCACUCAGCUUUCAUAUUGUGCAGACGCGAUCCCAGUGCCAUCUAUUCAGACUAGUUUUUAGAUAUCUGUGGUGCUUCAAGCUAGGUUUCGGUGGUCUUUGAAAGCUGGUUUAUGUGCGUGAAAUUGGACAAGAUUGAAUUGAAAUAAUUUGCUAGAAUUCUACUUAAUUUUAGUUGAUCUGAGAGAAGAUACUUGAAACUGGGGAGAGGUAGUGGUCUGGUGACUUUCACACGGUGAAUUUCAGAAAACUGUAAGCUUCAUAAAGGUAAGGACUUUGUCACUCUAGGCCUAUCACUUUGUAUCCAGUGCUUAGCAUACCGUAUAGUAAAGGCUCAAAAAUAUUUGGAAACCGAGAUGGAAAAUCCGGGGAAAAAGGGAGCAGCAAGCUGACCCCACUGAAUCAGUUAAUAGGGGUGAUUUUAAUCACAUGAAUGGAGUUUGAAGAAAAUGUUCAUUCACAGUAGCAGCAUCUUUUGUAACAGAAUGAUUUGAUAUUUAGGAUCCAUUUGAGAUUGACAAUUAAUCCAACUUAGUCUGCUGCCCAGCUGACGGGUUUCCUCAAGCAGUGCUCAGGGCAUUCGUUCAUUCAGUCAUUCAUGGAGCGUACAUUCAUUGGGCACCUACUACAUGGCAGAAUGCUAGAGAUACAGGGGAUUAAAACAGACAAAAAUCCCUAUCCUCUCAAAGUUUACAUUCUAGUGGGGGAAAGACAGUAAAUGGUACACUAUUUACACUAUUGUGUUACAAUGUGUAUAUUCUGACAGACGGAGACAAGUGCCAUAGAGAAAAACAAAUCAAGCAGGAAAGAGGAAAUGAGAUAUCACAGUUUCAAAUAGAGUGAUCAGGGGGGCACCAGGGUGGCUCAGUCGGUUAAGCGUCCGACUUCGGCUCAGGUCAUGAUCUCGAGGUCUGUGAGUUCGAGCCCCGCGUCGGGCUCUGUGCUGACAGCUCGGAGCCUGGAGCCCGUUUCAGGUUCUGUGUCUCCCUCUCUCUCUGCCUCUCCCCCACUCACGUUCUGUCUGUUUCUCAAAAAUGAAUAAAUGUUAAAAAUAAAAUAGAGUGAUCAGGGAUACCUGGGUGGCUCAGUAGGUUGAGCAUCUGACUCUUGAUUUCAGCUCAGAUCAUGAUCCCAGGGUGAGUGUGGAGCCUGCCGAAGAUUCUGUCUCUCUUCUUCUGGCCCACUUGCUCCCUCUCAGAAAGGAAAGAAAAGAAAAGAAAAGAAAGGAAAGGGAAGGGGAGGGGAGGGGAGGGAAGGGAAGGAGGAAGGAAGAAGGAAGAAAGAAAGGAAAGAAAGAAAUGUUAUUGACAUAAAUUGACUUGGAAUAUUAUAUAGUUUCAGGGGGACAACAUAAUGAUUCAGUAUUUGUACAUGUUGUGAAAUGAUCACCCCAAUAAGUCUAGUUAGCAUCCAUCACCAUGUAGUUAAAAAGAUUUUGAAACACAGGACACUGCACUGAGAAACUCCUAUGAUUGUAUGUAGUACAAAGCACACCUUGCUGCACUUGACAGUUGACGGGACGCUGGGAGGGAAACAAGCCCGCAAAUGCCAGAGCCUCACAUUCGCUCACCCUCAGUAGUACGCGCUCCUUUCUCCGUUCUCAUUCUCUGCACAAGCCAGAAAUAAGACAACCGACAGAAAUUACGGAGUCCUUCCUUUAUAAAAUUCUCUGUGGUGUGACAUAUUUAUUCAUUGAUCUUUUUUUAAUUUAAAAAAUUUUUACUUUUAGGAGAAAGAGAGCGAGAGAGAGAGAGAGAGAGAGAGAGAGAACAUGAGCAGGGGAGGGGCAGAGAGAGAGGGAGACACAGAAUCGGAAGCAGGCUGCAGGCUCCGAGCUGUCGGCACAGAGCCCAACACGGGGCUUGAACCCACGAACCGUGAGAUCAUAAUCUGAGCCGAAGUCCGAUGCUCAACCGACGGAGCCACCCAGGCGCCCCUAUUCAUUAACCUUUUACUAAGCAUUUCAUUAUGUGCCUGCUUGAUACUGGGGCCCAUUCCUAAAGAGGGGAACAAAGCCCAUGUCUUUUGGGAAAUUAUGUAUUUUCCAGGGAGACAAUACUGAACUAGUCAUUGGGAGAUAAUUUAAGAAUUAUUUUUAUAUGUGCCACGAAGGACCAGCUGAGACUAUGAGAACAUCAAGGGCACGAUCCUUAUCCGGGACAUCAGGAAAGACCUGCUGGAGUAGGUGACAGACAGUAUUGGCACAUGUGCUCAACACGUUUUGAUUUGUGUUGAUUUAUAUGAUUAUAUCUCUACCCUUGAGAAGUAUACGUUUCACCAUAGGAUACAAAAGUGAGUAAUCAUUUUGGCUCAGUAGUGUAUGGUCUAGGAAAAAGACUCACAAAUUUCUGUGGCUACAUAGAUUUUUAAGAAGAAUUAUUAACUGAAUUUUUCAGUUUAAUAAUGUUAUUCUAGCUUGUCAGUUGUUUUUUAUUGUUUGUUGGUAUGUUUGACAAGUCAUAAAAUGUAUACACCUUCCUGUCUCUUGUGUGUGUGUGGAGGUGUAUUUGAUCACGUUUAGAAUAAAAUACAGAAACACAAACUAAAUUUUCCGGUUCAAUAGCAGACACACUAUACUUUCUGAGGCGCUUUCUACAAAAAAGUAGGUACAAAAUAAAAUUUUGUUCGAUUUUUAAAUGAACGUGUAAUGUACAAAAGUAACAAUCUGAAAUCCUAAGUCCUACAUACAUUGGUGAGCUCCUUGCCGCCUUUUCUUUUCUUUUUUUUUUUUAAGUUUUAUAGAUUUAUGUAUUAAUAUUUGACCUUGAAAACAUACACAGAACUAUAGCUUCUCUUCAAGUCUUUUGAAUUUGAGGUUGGAUGGAUUGUUUAGAGUGGUCUUUAUAACUUUUAUUUGGGGGUGGACUAAAGGUUUUACCCAAUUCUCCCUAUUGAUAUCCCCUAGGCCAGACCACACUUACUUACAUGCUUUUUUGGCUACAGGCGCUAGAAUCCUUAUUUAUUUAUUUAUUUAUUUACUUACUUACUUACUUGCUUAUUUAAAAAGUUUAUUUAUUUUGAGAGAGGGAGAGAGAGUGCACUCACAAGUGGGGGAAAGGCAGAGAGAGAAAGAGAGAGAGAGAGCGCGCGCAAGAAUCACAAGCAGGCUCCACGCUGUCGAUGCAGAGCCUGAUGUGGGGCUCAGACUCAUGAACCAUGAGAUCGUGACCUGAGCUGAAACCAAGAGCCAGAUGCUUAACCCCCUGAGACCCCCAGGUGCCCACAGAAUCCCAAUUCAAGUGAGGUUAGAAAGAAAAGUCAGUUUCCCAACAAUAAAGGAUUGUUUGCUCCACUUUUUCUGAGUAUCAACCUCAUUCUUCUCUCUCGUUGCAAGCAUUCUUUCAACACAUGAGAGAAACUUGACCUCUGAUAGCUCCUGAGCUUUGCAGCUGACCAAGUUGGCCACCUGCAGAGAAACCACCUCAACUCUCUGGGCCCUAGGUCCAAGACCAGUGGGAAAACCCUCUCUGGGCCACAAGGUCUAGACACAGCAACUGUGAUAGGAGGAGGAGAGAUGUGUGUGUGUGACGUUGUGUCAUAACUGGAGAUCCUGAGAGAACAAUUUGGGUAGGAUGACGGGAAAUUGUUCUCAGAAGAAGGAGGCAAUUCUGAGAAAAGAAUUACAUGUGAGCCUACCAUGGUAUUAUUGGAAAGAAGUGUCAGAGAAUGGGACUAAACGAUGAAUAAGGAACCAAUGUUGGACAUUUUAUGUGAGGGAAAGGGAGAAAAGAAGGUCAGGAGAUUUCCCUGAGAAAGCAAGGAAACAUGAGAAACUUUAGCCAAGACGAAGUGGGACAUAACCAAAACAUUGACAGAUGUUACACCCCAUUUACUUUCAAACACUUCAGUAAAAAACAAAUAGAUGAAACAGAAAUGGCAAGAUGUUAAUAUUAAAACUGGGCAAUGAGUAUAUAGAUGUUUUCUAAAAAGUGGCUCUCGGGGUGCCUGGGAGGCUCAGUCUAAGCAUCCGACUUUGGCUCAGGUCAUGAUCUCACAGGUUCAUGAGUUUGAGCCCCACGUUGGGUUCUGUGCUGAUGGCUCAGAGCCUGGAGCCUGCUUCCAAAUCUGUGUCUCCCUCUCUCUCUGCCCCUCCCCCACUCGCAUUCUGUCUCUCUCAAAAACAAAUAUUAAAAAAAGUAAAGUUUUGUCUGUUAAGUCUGAUAUUUGGGCUUCCUCAAGAACUAUUAACUUUUUUCUUCCUAUGAAUGGUUCUUUCUUUCACAUGUGACUUUGUAAUCUUUUCAUUGAAAACUUAAUAUCUUGAAUAUUCUCAUGUGGCAACUUUGGAAAUCACUUUUUCCCUCUCUCUCCAUGACGUGUUGUUGCUGUUUGUUGUAGUUGUUGUUGCUUGUUUUUUAAAUGGCUUUUCUGAACUAAUUUUCAAAGUAUAUUCUUUGUCAUGUGUGGUCACUUAAGUUUCUGUUCCAUUAGUUUACUAGUCAGCUAGUGGUCAGGCAGAGAGUUCUUUUAAUCCCUGGAGUAAAAAAAAAAAAGGAAAAAAAAAAGCCCCCUAAAAACUCUCUCCAGUCUUUUCAGAUGGGCUCUGUGUUGUGGCACUCCUCGAUACUUGGCCGGGCCAUUUACUUCCUGCUUGCAUGGAGCUUGAAGGUCAGCCAAUGAGAAGAUCUUUGAAUCUUCUCGGGUCUUUUCUGAGCAUCUAUCCAGCCCAGGCAUGCGUGGAGUCUUCUAGUUCUCUGGAUUAAAUGGGAGCUUCUCAAAGCCCUUAUUCCCUGCAAUGUGCCCUUCUCCAGCCUCUUUCUUCCCAGUAUUUUGGCUUUUCUGUUGCUUGCCCUAAUUGUUACCCUUUGCCACAGAUGGCAGCCGCUUAUACAUUUGCAAAUGUCACCCAGGAAACUGCCUUGGAGCUGAUGCGUGUGAAACAAAGGCAAGUCCUUGAGCAGAUCCUUCAAGGAGCUUACGGGGAGCUUCAGGGAGCUACUUCGGUCAAAACGUGGAUCCACGGUUCUUUGAGGUGAGAUAAGAUUGGUUCUGGUCCCUCCGGUACCAGUAACCUGCACCAGGAAAAUGGACUUCUGUCUUCAAGUCUGUAGCUGCGUUGGGGAUGGUAACAAGGUAAGUCAAAAUGCUCUCUUACCAAAAUUCAGCUGGCUUUUUUUUUUUUUCCAGUGAGCUUUAUUCUGGUUGCUGAAAGUUUCUUUUAUUAGAUUCUAGAGUUCUGAAAAACUUCAUCGUGACAAUUCUUGCCAGCUUGUUCACUGCUUUUAUGAAGGGAUGAAGGCUUGGAGUUGUCUACUCUGCUGUUUUCAGAGACGUCUGUCCUGUGGAGAGAAUGGGUGACACGGUGUGGUAUUCCUGAUUCCAACAAAAGGGCAGCAUCCGGUCCAGAUCCCUUCCGACUUAUCUGGGAGUCUUGAGAGUUGGAUGGCUGAGGAGAUUUGUGGCCGAGCCCUGGAAAUCAUUGACCUGCCCCUUCUGUGGGGUCUACUCUGAGGAACCCUAUUCCAUAACGUGCGCACCUUCUGUCCAAGGCGCCUGGGCUCCUCGGUGAUGCAGACUGACAAGAGGCUUUUCAUCCACUCCGGGUGCUUUCAGUUCUCCCAGAAUAAGUAAGGCCAGGAAAACCUGGUAGCAGGACGUUUGGCGGACCUUUUCAGAGAGUUGGACUCUGGAGUCGAGCACUGAGCAUGGGCCUUAGGUCGGCAGGUUUCUGUGUGACCGUGACAGAAAACCGGAAAAGACUCAUCUCUUCCUUUUACCUGCACUGUUUUGAAGACCUCUGCUUGACAUCUUGCAAACAACUUAUACUUCCCCUGCCUUCAGCAUUUGGUGAGAAAGCACCAGACGGGCUAUUCAUUUCUCGCCAGCCUCUUGACAUUUCUCAGAUACGCAAGAUCCAGAUCAACACAGCCCUUGGGAGGGUGGCUGAGACGAAGGUGCUCACGCCUGCGCCAAGCCCGUGCUGCGUAUGCUCGGAUUUUAUGUGAAUGUGAACUUGGGUUCACUAACCACCACCGACUGUCUCACAUCCUCUGAGACAUGUGAGGUGUCAGAAGGGUAUGUGUGCUCGAGUCCGGUAGAGAC
rnacentral:lncRNA from 1 species